GGUACUGCUGGGGCUCAAUGAACCAUUCUGUGCAUACAUAUGGGAGGUGACAGAUCAUGGGAACAAAAGCAACCACCAAACAAGUCAGCAGGAAGAGAUGACACAGUGAACUCCAGGAAAGGCUUCUCAACCUAGCAGGGAUUUUUUUCCAGUAAUAUUCUGAGGAGGAAAAUAAUCUACGUAACAGUUUUUCAGUUACUGGAGCAAAGAAAAGUUUAAGAAGAUUUUUUGUGCUCGUGGACAGCUGGCCUUGGAGAGUACUUGCUGUGAAAAGGAAAGGAAAGAGCAUAGGAAACCAGCAGAGAAUUGGGGACUCAAAAUCUCCAGGACAUGUGAGAAAUGCAAGCCUAUAUAUGAAGAGUUUGUCAGAAACCGAGCUUUGCAAUGAAAUCUUAAGAUUCCUCCAAUGUCUAGGCAUAAUGAGAAGCGACUUGAAAGUGCAGUUAUGGUGUAAAAUGGCACCUCCUUACUUAACAAUUCUGUUCCUUGGCAUAUCAAUCGAUCCAUCAAUCAAUAACUCUAACCCAUCUGCUCCCUGAAUAUAUUCUUUCUGAUGUGCCAAUCAGCAUGGGUAUUUAGGUAGCAUUCUGUGACACUUAUGUAAUAAUAAUAAGUUUUGACCUCCUGUUAGCAUUGGAAAGCCAAAAACUUAUGGGAGAAUGAGUAUUUACUUAUAAUAUGCACCAGAUCUGCAGCUGUUAAAAAUCAAUGUAGUUCCACUGAAACUGCCAGAGCUAUGCCAAUUUACACCUACUAAGGAGCUGGCCUUAUAAGCCUUCUCAUAUAAAUGCAUGUGUUUGUGUAUAUAAAAAUAUAUCUGCAAAAAGAUGCAGAAAAGACAUUCAAUUAACCUCAUGGAAUACAUCAAAAGAAAAGCAGUAAACAUAUUUCUUCUGCUUUUUUUGUUGUUUUACUAUAAAAUAUGCCUAGAACAGCAACGUUAAAGUUUAAUUACUCUUAUUCAAAUAUGUACUUAUGCACCCAGUGGCUCAUUUGUGUUUGUUCUCCAAAAUACGUAAUUAAUUGUGUGCACAAACAAAAUCACAAACUCCUUUAAGGAAAUUAUUAUUCUGUCUCUAUCCUCCAACUUCCAUUGGCUUUAAUGGGGGGCUGCAGAUGCCCAGCACCCCCAGAAGUUGCUCAGCACCUUGACGGAUUGAGCCCAAGAUGACAAACUAAUGUGGCUUUUAAGAUGUAUCACAGACAGACUAUAAAGACCAAUGUGUGUGAUAAAAUCCUAAAAUAAAUGUCUGGCAGAGAUAAACUCAGAAUAUCAAUUUUUUCUAGGAAUAGCAAGAAGGGAAU